rnacentral:rRNA from 1 species
UCCGGUGAUAAUGACGCAGAGGAUCCACCCGUUCCCAUACCGAACACGGAAGUUAAGCUCUGCGGUGCUGAUGAUACUUGGUGGGAGACUGCCCGGGAAAGUAAGUCGUCGCCGGAU